rnacentral:rRNA from 1 species
GACGAACGCUGGCGGCGUGCUUAACACAUGCAGGUCGAACGGUAAGGCCCUUCGGGGUACACGAGUGGCGAACGGGUGAGUAACACGUGGGUGAUCUGCCCUGCACUUCGGGAUAAGCCUGGGAAACUGGGUCUAAUACCGGAUAGGACCCUGGGAUGCAUGUCCUGGGGUGGAAAGCUUUUGCGGUGUGGGAUGGGCCCGCGGCCUAUCAGCUUGUUGGUGGGGUGAUGGCCUACCAAGGCGACGACGGGUAGCCGGCCGGAGAGGGAGACGGGCCACACUGGGACUGAGAUACGGCCCAGACUCCUACGGGAGGCAGCAGUGGGGAAUAUUGCACAAUGGGCGCAAGCCUGAUGCAGCGACGCCGCGUGAGGGAUGACGGCCUUCGGGUUGUAAACCUCUUUCAGCACCGACGAAGCGCAAGUGACGGUAGGUGCAGAAGAAGGACCGGCCAACUACGUGCCAGCCGCCGCUGUAA